UACGAAGGGGGCUAGCGUUGCUCGGAAUCACUGGGCGUAAAGGGUGCGUAGGUGGGUCUUUAAGUCAGAGGUGAAAUCCUGGAGCUCAACUCCAGAACUGCCUUUGAUACUGAGGAUCUUGAGUUCGGGAGAGGUGAGUGGAACUGCGAGUGUAGAGGUGAAAUUCGUAGAUAUUCGCAAGAACACCAGUGGCGAAGGCGGCUCACUGGCCCGAUACUGACGCUGAGGCACGAAAGCGUGGGGAGCAAACAGG
rnacentral:rRNA from 1 species